UGGGGAUGCGUUUGAGGAGGUGACUAACCCAGCGCUGCUGCUCUGCCUGGGAGUUGGUCAGCAGGAGCAGCUCUUUGGCCGUGGAGAUGUCAUAGUUGACUGUGAGGAAGAAACAAGAACAGAGGCGCCAUCGUUUGAAGGUGAUCUUUGUGGCACUUGGUGUGGCAGCGGCGACACUCCAGGGCGGACGGGGGUUUAAAGACGUGCCACAGCGGUCUAGUACAGGCCUCACAGCUCGAGGGGAAGUGGUACAGAGUGGGGAUGAACUCGUGGCCCUUGUGACUUAUGUAGGAGGGUCGGUCACCAAACGGUGUGGGCUCCACGACGACCUCCUGGUCCCGUUUGAUUUCACCUUCAUUGGCGUACAGGAUCUGAAAGGAAAAAAAAAAAAAGAGAGAAGGCAGAGUUUAUUACUGACUCAGCAGUGGUGUUGAUGGAGAUACAGACGAAUAUGUGGAAUAAGCGGGCACCAUGCUGUGACUAUGGUCGUGGUCAGUGAACAGUGAAAAGGAUUAAAGCACAGCAGAAGCAGCGUCAACACAUCGCACAGAUUAAGCACGACUGCACGGUCUAAUAACCUUGGCUCCAGUUAUUGCUGUUUAAACCCAGCGGGAAAAAGUACAUGGAUAUUAAUUGAUGGGCUGAUGAAAGCUGUACACUUUGAGCCAAUCUUGAUGUAAAAUCCAGUAGAAAUUGUUUGGAUUUGCUAAAUUAGGCCCAGGAC